rnacentral:sRNA from 1 species
AUGAGAAUCCCCCGCACAUCUACGCCCUCACAGACAACAUGUACCGGAACAUGCUUAUCGACUGUGAGAACCAGUGUGUCAUCAUUAGUGGAGAGAGUGGAGCUGGGAAGACAGUGGCAGCCAAAUACAUCAUGGGCUACAUCUCCAAGGUGUCUGGCGGAGGCGAGAAGGUCCAGCACGUCAAAGAUAUCAUCCUGCAGUCCAACCCACUGCUGGAGGCCUUCGGCAAUGCCAAGACUGUGCGCAACAACAAUUCCAGCCGCUUCGGCAAGUACUUUGAGAUCCAGUUCAGCCGAGGUGGGGAGCCAGAUGGGGGCAAGAUCUCCAACUUCUUGCUGGAGAAGUCCCGCGUGGUCAUGCAAAAUGAAAAUGAGAGGAACUUCCACAUCUACUACCAGCUGCUGGAAGGGGCCUCCCAGGAGCAAAGGCAGAACCUGGGCCUCAUGACACCGGACUACUAUUACUACCUCAACCAAUCGGACACCUACCAGGUGGACGGCACGGAUGACAGAAGUGACUUUGGUGAGACUCUGGUGAGCACCGGCCUCCACUCCAGUCCCCGGCCAGGCAGACCUCAGCCCCAGAAACCCUCCUGAGUUACAAAUUAGGAAACCGAAGCCCAGGCCAGGCACGUGGCUCAAGCCUGUAAUCCCAGCACUUUGGGAGGCCGAGGCAGGCAGAUCACUUAAGGUCAGGAGUUUGAGACAGGCCUAGCCAACAUGGUUAAACCCCAUCUCUACUUAAAAUACAAAAAGUAGCCAGGCAUGGUGGCGCACGACUGUAAUCCCAGCUACUGGGGAGGCAGAGGCAGGAGAAUUGCUUGAAAACGGGAGGCGGAAGUUGCAGUGAG